AAGACACGUGGUCAGUUGCUGAAGAAAUUCCGGUGAAAACAUGCAGGGUCUAGCAAAAGGUCUGUAGCUGAGGGAAGGUGGAUGGCCCCAUAUGAGAGAUUUUUAACUACGACCCCCCUGGAAGAGUUUCUCCAACACGGAGUCAUAAAUUUUAAAAAUACAUGUGUCCGUCUGUGGGAAUUUCCCCAUACAAUGCUGGAAGUCACGCGGUACCCUCAUCCUCAUAUUCAAUUUAAAUAUCGUGUUGCAUUGAAGCAGUGGCAGGUCAGGAUAUUUCUGAAAAGGGAUGCAAUAAAAGGAUAGGGAACUGCCUGAAUGCCCAGAGGGACCAGGGCGAAGCUCUCAAGUUAUACCAAAUAAGAAGUAUAUGUAUUUUUGUAUCUUGGACAAAUUUCUAUUUUAAAAAUGGAUCAUAUUAGUGGGCUGGAUCCGCCACUGGAAACAUUAACCUGUUCCCAUAUCAUCAGGAUCACUACCUGUAUAGAAGCGUCAUUAGUCAUAGUUAGUCAGCCUUGGUGGGUGGACGAGGAUUAAGCCCGAAGAUUAAACUAUUCAAAUGAUUAACAUUGGAUAAUCCAGUCCCACAAUCCGGUUACUGACCUCGUUUAAUCAUCUAAGCUUUUUGCUAUAUUUUGUUGUGUGAAAAUCUGAUUCCAAAUGAUUUCAUAUAUUAUACAAUGGGAAAAAAUGCAUAUAUUAGCUCACCCGGACUGUAUUAUUUCAGGAAGACCUUUUUAUUUUAGAGUUUGGAAUCAGACCUGGAGGUUAUAACACGUUUUUGAGCACGUUUUCAUACACAAUGCUCCAAGUCGUACUGAUACUCAAAAGUGAGGGUUAUAAAACUUCUAUAAAAUCAUUCUCACACUCAAAUGGAGUACAUGGAAUACGAGUAUUCUUCGGAGCUUCCUCAGAGUUGCACUAAAACAAACAUGGCUGAGUUUGACUACAGUAAAAGUUUUAAUUAUAAUCUCCAGGCCUGGUUUUGUAUGUACAGAAUUUCAGAUACACAUUUUAUUUUUAGAGUUUGUAUGUAUAGAAUUUUAGAUACACAUUUUAUUUUUAGAGUUUGGAAUCUGGUUUUGUAUGUAUAGAAUUUUAGAUACACAUUUUAUUUUAGAGUUUGGAAUUUGGUUUUGUAUGAAUAUAAUUUCAGAUACACAAUUUA